AACAAACGCUGGCGGCGUGCCUAACACAUGCAAGUCGUACGAGAAAGGGUCCUUCGGGGCCUGAGUAAAGUGGCGCACGGGUGAGUAACGCGUGGAUAAUCUGCCCUUCAGUUGGGAAUAACUCAUCGAAAGGUGGGCUAAUACCGAAUAAUGCUGUGAGACCUCGGUUGAUCAGCCAAAGAGAGCCUCUGCUUGCAAGCCCUCGCUGAAGGAUGAGUCCGCGUACCAUUAGCUAGUUGGUAGGGUAAUGGCCUACCAAGGCGAAGAUGGUUAGCUGGUCUGAGGGGAUGAGCAGCCACACUGGAGCGGAGACACGGUCCAGCCUCCGACGGGAGGCAGCAGUGAGGAAUCGUGCGCAAUGGGGGCAACCCUGACGCAGCAACGCCGCGUGAGUGAAGAAGGUCUUCGGAUCGUAAAGCUCUGUCGGAUGGAAAGAACCGCAUAGGGGUAAACAGCCCCUGUGUCUGACGGUACCAUCAAAGGAAGCACCGGCUAACUCCGUGCCAGCCGCCGCCGUAACAC
rnacentral:rRNA from 1 species